rnacentral:rRNA from 1 species
GAUGAACGCUGGCGGCGUGCCUAAUACAUGCAAGUAGAACGCUGAAGGAAGGAGCUUGCUCUUUCCGGAUGAGUUGCGAACGGGUGAGUAACGCGUAGGUAACCUGCCUGGUAGCGGGGGAUAACUAUUGGAAACGAUAGCUAAUACCGCAUAACCGUAGGUGUUGCAUGAUAUCUACUUAAAAGGUGCAAUUGCACCACUACCAGAUGGACCUGCGUUGUAUUAGCUAGUUGGUGAGGUAACGGCGCACCAAGGCGACGAUACAUAGCCGACCUGAGAGGGUGAGCAGCCACACUGGGACUGUGACACGGCCCAGAGUCCUACGGGAGGCAGCAGGAGGGAAUCUUCGGGAAUGGACGGAAGUCUGACCGAGCAACGCCGCGUGAGUGAAGAAGGUUGUCGGAUCGUAAAGCUCUGUUGUAAGAGAAGAACGAGUGUGAGAGUGGAAAGUUCACACUGUGACGGUAUCUUACCAGAAAGGGACGGCUAACUACGUG